AUUACCCGGCAUGCUGUGUGCGCGUGAGUCAGGUGAACUUGGCAGAUGGCUUCACGUGCAGCAGAGUGUAAUGAGUGGGAUUUCCUGAGCGCUGCAUUGGAGCGCAGGAGGAACUAGAGGCAGAGUCGAGGCUGCGUCCUGUACAUCUGUCACACCGGAGCUGAAGGAGUCCUAGCCAACAGCGCCUGGAGUUUCCUUCCAGGGCUACAGCCUUGGGCGAAGUUUGGUACAAAACCUGCGCGAAGUUUAUUACCAUUUCGGGGAUUUAAUUCAUUUUUUGUGUCCGUUCAAUGGAUAUUUCUCAUAGUUUUACAGCCGGAUGCAGUGUGCACGUGGAGGAUUUUGCUCUUCGUUUCCACAAUCCUGCAUUUAUGUAAUGGGUUUUUUGGAGGAGUUUGACUUGGAGGAUGGUUUUAGUGUGUGUUCUCGCUUGGCUUGCUGUUCAUUCCUGGAGAUAAAGCAGCCUAUGUGGAGGAGCCAUACUGUGGUGUGCGCGCGCGCCCCGGCAGACGGCUGGCUCUGUGCAGGGAUUGAACACCGGGAUGUCCAUGCGUGGCCCGGAGACCGACACAAGCACGCGCUCAGUCUGGAUUUCCCUUGCUCUCUCGGCUGAUUUAGGAAUUUCUUUUGGAAAUGGGCUUAUGGAUGAUACCAUGGUUGAUCACUGAAGAAGUGAUGCGCCUUUCAAACUUACCUCUGCCUGACUAAACCAAUGUCUGCUUGUCAGAGAUAAAAAGCAGCAGCAGCAGCAGGUACAGUGUCAGUGUCUCACACUUCUAUAACUUUCCAGCUAAUUAUAUCUACUGCAUAUACUUUAUUUCAUAUUUCAUAGUUUUCCAUGAGCAGUGUGAUUGUGGAAGCUACCCAGGGAGCAACAGCCAUGAAGUCUUUUUUUUACUGUUUAUUGCUUUAAGUUACAGUCUCUUUUAAAAAGAAGAUGCACAUAAAUUCACCUGCUGGAAAAGAUUGUGCUCUCAUACCGUUACUCCCACUUCAAUGAGUCAGUAAAACAGCGCCUACCAAGGGCAGCUAGCUUUUAAAACACUUGUGUGGUUGUGGGUUCAGUGUGUGAAUGCUAUUUAAGUAUGGCUAAUAUUGUGUGUUUGGUCUACUUUCCAUAUCCAAAUAAACUAAUGAAUGCAUAGUCUGUUUUAACCAAGCUGCACCAGUUUGCCACAUGCACUCUCUUUAAAAUCUUUUUACAUUUUUAUCAAAAAAAAAAAAAAAAAAAACCUUGUACAUCACUGACAGCAUCGAAGACUUGUCAUAGGACAGCCGAAAGGAUACUGGAUAAAAACUGUCAGAAACUUGUUUACUACUGAGAGGGUAGUGUUUUUAAUAGAGGAAGCAGGUCUGUCAUAACUAAUGACUUUGUAUAUACUGGUGUGAUUAAAGGUUUAAUUGACAUUCUGUUAAACCUGAUACCAUGUGCACAGUGACACCACUCAGGUGUGACUAAAGUAACAUGAUGUGGUUUCUACUGAUACAUGAGACAGAAGUCACCCAUUUAUGCUGCCAAUUUGUCAAAGGGUGGACAGGGAGCUGUAAAAGCUGACCCUUGUUAAGGCCAGAGCAAGGCCGUUCGGUCAAAGCAACAUUUCUGGGCAGGGUGGAAUGGGUUCGUCAUAGCGAUGGUCUCAUAGCUGGAGUAGAUCGUGCACAGUGUAUUUUGGAAUAAGGGAAACAAUGAUGGAACUGUUUGUGUUGGCAAAACUGCUGCUUUUGUUGGAUAGCAAGUGUUCUCACAAGAACAAGAUCUGUACAAAUGUUCUGCUCGUAGAAACCCCACCCUGCCCACCCAGAUCUCUUAAGAGCACACCAUUAGACCUCUUUCCUCCCAGCUAAAAGGAUUUAGGGGUUGAGGAGUGGGAAUGGCCCACACCCACUCUAUUCUCCACCAGAACAAUGCAGUAGAAUAGCCUCCUGAAGACAGGCAAGCUGUCACAGGGAAGCCUGCUGUUUGCAAAUGGCUGAGUGGGUGUAAAUAUAUAUACUUCAGUUGAUUUGUUUUUCCUCGCAGAAUAAAUGCAUAUCACCAAAUUAGUACAUUGUUUAAGAGUAAUAAGAGGUUUGCUGCUAAUGUUGUUGCUAAUGAAUGUGAAAAAGGUGAUGCUAGUUUUCUGCAAAGGCAAUGUACUAACUGGUUCUAAGUAAUGUUUAUUAUUUCUGACAGCUUUUGCCAAGUUUUUUUUCGUGAUGCCUUUACUUUACAAUUGGCAUGAACCUUCUAGCCAUACGCAGGUGAGGGAUCACAGUAAACACCUCUGCCCUCAGGAUUCCACUCGUGCCAUUUGGAAAAGCAGGAAUGCUAGGGAACUGGACGUGACUAAGACAGGAAAGGACAUGUCUUAAGACCCUGACUUCUUUUAAGAUUCUGCCUCUCCUUCUCCCUUCUGUACCCCCACCAUUGUCAACACCGUGGACAGAGACCCCACUAUGUGGCUGUAUAAAGAACAGGGCAAUCUUACCUCCUUUAUGUACCCCCCUCAUUAAAAUCCUUUUUGAACAAGACCCCCUUUCUCCACUGAAGAGGGACUCUCUGUCCAAUGCCAAAUGACUCUCACGGCGGGUAUUGAUGGUGGGACACUUGCUUGAACAAAAGGAGCUGAAGUGUCAAAUAAACUUGGUCAAAGCCCCCCUGACAUUAGAAUUCCUUUAUCAGCUGCCCCCAGGGCGAGACAAAGACCGAUUUUGUGUCCACCAACAAGCAUUGAUAAAACACCGAGCCCUUUUUGUAACCCCUCUCCCCACACUCAACUCGAUAGGUUCUCAUCUUCCUCAUUCUCUUGUGACACUUUCAACUGGAAAGUGGGAAGUGUGUGUAGAGGGUGCAGGAAUGCAUGUCAGCCGUGUUUUGAAGGAACAUCUGUGCUGAGUUCUAGGGUUAUGCUGCAGUAGGUUCUUUAAGGUUUCAAACUCAAAGACCUUUGGGUAAAAAAUGUUCCUGAGAUGUAAUUUUGUGGUGGUUUGGGUGGAUAAGUGGUCUGUAAAGGUCUGAAAAGGGUCUAGUGGAGGGCAGUGGUCAUGCUAAAGAACUCUGCUGUGGUGUUAUGUGAUACAGCUGUGGUAAGCCACAGUGGAGUUAUGUAUUAGGACUCUGACAUGCUUCCAGUGCUGUUUCCCUGGCCACCAAAAAUUACAUACUCAAUCCACCAGCAGCUGUUUGCACUCACAGCUCUUCAUUAACUUAAUUUAAACUGGAACCACUGUUUAAAAACAAUUAAUAUUGUUUAUAGAUGUAAUUGUGUCUUUAGAAAGAGCCAAAGUAAAUAAUUGAAAUGGAUGCUCUGAAACAAAACAUAUACAGGAAUAAUAAGCAAAGACAUGCAAUUUUGCUUGAGUUCUUGUUACAUCCUAGAGUUCUUGGUAUAUCUUACAAUGCAAUGCAAUUGUGGCAGACAAGGCAGACAUUCAAACUAAAGUUCUGGUGUCAACAAUAUUUCCUUUCUAGAAAUGUUGAUAAUAGAAAGGGACUAAGUAAUAGUGAAGACAAAAGCAAACAUCUGUGUAGUGUCUUGGCUAAGGAGAAACCUGAGAGAGAUUAUUAGGGCUUGACACCUCAGGCUGUGCUUGUUUUGUGGCUUGUUUUGUUUGGUACAUUUUUGUGUAAUUGGUUAUCCUCCCAUUUUCUUUUUGUAAUAUACCCAACUAAUUUAACUAGCUACAAUUUUGACUGUGCCUUUCUGUUUUUGGCCAGGCCUACUUAUCUCUAUCCAAGUUAACUAUAUACGUAGAUAGAAAAUAAUAACGCAUGUCUUGUUGUGUUUAGCUGAACGUAUCAUUUUCUUGGAUGUAGCUUGGAAAUAAUUGCUGUAGGUGCAGACUUUAGAACCAGUCAAGGAAUUUCCAUUGAGUAGGCGUUACAGAGUGUUUUGAUCUGGUAUCAGGUGUUGAUGGAUGGGGCAGGAUUGUGUGGAGUGGUUGGACUACUGUGGUGGCGGAUUUUGGAACUGCUAACAGUGGCUUUAAUAGUCUACUACGUCACUAGCAUGCAGCUUGUGUGAUAAUGUCUUGCCUAAAUUAUUUGGAUCUAUAAUUGCUUGCAAGAAGUUUACUACACACCCUUGCCAUCAGUUGUCGAACCUGAUAGUGUAGCCAUUGCCAUAAUGUUGCACAGUGCAAGACUGUUUGCCAGUAAGUCAUUAGAAGUUCAGCUUGGGUGACAUCUUCAGAUGAUUUGGCUUAGCUUACUGACGGGUGUAAAGUAUCCAGUAGAUCAAGAAAAUACAGAAUGGAAAUCAAAGCAGCUCAGACCCUCAUUAUAUAAAGCUUCACAACAUCUCAGCUUUUCAGGCAUCCAGGUUUCCCCUGAAUGCAUCAGAUAGUAAAGGUGCAUCUUGUCAGAUGUAGGACACCCUCCUAUUUUGGGUGGUGGGCCAUUCCCAGCACAGCAGUGGCAGUGACAUGGUGAUGGUAUUUUAAUAUCAUCCAUUAUUUUAAUGUGAGGUUCAGGUUCAGAAGUAUGAUGAGACAGUUUGUGAGCAAAAAAUAACAACUAUCAGGUGUCAUGUAGUCAUUAACUGAUGGGCUAUACAGUAGCUUAUAGCCUCAAACUGUAAUUUCCCAGCAAAGUCACUGUGCUUGAUGUACUCGUACAAGUGUCACACUAAAAUGCCACUGCCGUGUCACUGUAACGGCUGUGCUGACAAUGGUCCAUCAUCCAAAUUAUAACCUAAUAUUAUAAUGUCCAUGCCAAUUAACAUAAUAAUGUCCACAGCAAUGUAUUAUAUAUGGUAGGUGUAUAGGAUGCCACUGUGUUAGUGUUAGUGUUUGUGUGUAAUUGAAACAUAUUCUCAUUUAUAUUAAAUUAUAUUAAUAUUUAUUCUUUUCACCUGAGUAUUCAGGAACUCUUAAGAGGUCAUCCAUGACUUCCUGUUUCACACAGAAGCCAAAAUCUUUCGGUCAUUCUUCAUCAUGGGAAAGAUUAGAGGACACUGAAAUGAAAUGAGACUAAAUUAGACAGUGGCUCUAAAAUAGCUAAAAUGUCCAUAUCCACUGUUAGGGCAGUGAUUAAAGGCAAUGAUUAAAACAUUUAAAACAACUUGAGCUAGAAUGAAGGAUGAGGAUGGUUAGAGAGGCAAGUGAUGAGGAUAUGCAGAGAGGCAAAAAUCUACAUCAGUUAAUGGUUAGAGUUUUCUCAUAUGCUCAGGGUGCAAUUAAGCUAAUUAUGCACACAGUCAUUUUUAUAACAUUUUACCCAACUUUUCCAAGAGUGCCAAUAAUUCUGUAUAUGUAUAUGGGCAGCAUGGAGGCAAAUAUAUAUAGAUGGAUGGAUAAAUGGAUAGAUGGAUGUUAUCUUGCGUUUACCCGUUCACUCCUACCCUGUUUGCUCUGACUGUCUCUCUGUUUCUCUUGUGUGUGUUUAGAAUGGCACUAAAGUUUGUCUGAGCAGGAGAGUUGUCAUUUAUUAGGGUGUAGAAACAAUAAGGAGCUUGUCUCCAGGGUAGUAGGGCCUGAGACGGGGGUGGAGGGGUGGAAUUUAGGUGGCAGAGUGGCCGAGCCUGAGAUUGGGCAGCGUCCGACCAAGAACAAGCGCCUGUCUGACGGAGGCAACUGCUGACCCUUCCUGAGGAAAAUGGCACCUUUGUUCAGAGUUGUAUGUGUUUGUGGCUGGUGUGUGGGAACAUGCUUGCCUGUGUAUGUGUGUGUGUGUGUGUGUGUGUGUGUGUGUGUGUGUGUGUGUGUGUGUGUGUGUGUGUGUGUGUGUGUGUGUGUGAAUGACAGUCUACAGGAGGGUAAUGCCAGGAGAGUUAGGAAAACGUUUGUUCUGGCUCUUUAGUGCAGUAUUAUACGAAGUAAGGUCUAAAUAAUUUCUGUGUGUGUUUUAUGAUUAAUAUGUCUCACAGUACAUACAAAAUAUGAGUAAUAUUGCUUUCACAAGACAUUUGUUUUGUGUCCUCAUCAAUGUGUGUAUUAUGGGAAAGGCUAUCUGGGUUAUCGGUAUAAAAGAAACUGGCAGCUCCUUACCACACGCUUGUCAGAAAUCUUAUGUUAUUUGGCUUCCUGGUGCUAAGCAAUGAUGUCAACACUCCUGUUUUAAAAAUAGCUUUUACUGCCACAGUCAUUGCUCUCAUUUGCAAAUCAUCACUCAAUACUGCAGAAUUUCAGAUGAAGCUUACAAAGAUUACUCAAUUUUGUCACAACUUGGUAUUGACCAUUGCUGCAUGCCUUGUCUAGAGACAAAUCUCUCUCUCUCUCUCUCUCUCACUUUCAUUCUUGUUCUAACAAUGCUCUGAGUCACGGAAAUACAGAAACAAAAAUGAGCCUUUCUUACAUAGGAGCAUGUGAGGCGGGAUCUGCGUGACUAGUCUUAAAGGAAUUGUAGGCCCUGAUAAGAGCUGAGUGCAGCAGCCUGAUUUGUCUCUGAAAUGAAAAAAGAUUACUGCAGGGAUUAGCAAGUCUAUUAGUUAGCAGUUCUGUCAUAAUUUGUUGGUCUGCUGUUGUCACUGCUCUUUAUGGUCCCACUUUGUGGUAGGUAAAUAUCAAGAGGAUUGUACAGCAUAUUAAGUGGCUUUGGAUAAUCUCCAGGACAAUUAUGAUUGUUAUUAAUGACUCAUAGCACCCUGCCUGCUCUUGUUGUUUCUGUCUCUUUCUGUCCCUGUCAUACACGCACACACACACACACACACAAAACACACACACUCACAGAGUCAGUGUGGAGGUUGUUUGGUCACUGCUCAAACACAGUUUUGACCAAUUUAUAUAGAUAGCGUUAGGAUAGGAUAGCACAGGAUACUCAUGGUGGAAUAAUUUCUUACAAUUGCUUUUAAAAUUUAUCCAUCACCCAUAAGCUGAUUCUCUUCUAUCAUACAACUGCUACUAAUCUGGGAGGGGGAAGACUAACAGAUGCCUGCUCCAUAGCAUGAAGCCAUCACAUCUUUAGAACUGCUGCCUGUGUAACAGCAUAGGAUAGCUCAACUUGAAGAAGAGACCUGUACUGUAUGCAUGAGCUAAUGGAAACCUGGCCAUACUUCCUAGCCGACCCUGGGCAUAGAUAAUUGCACCACCCAGAAGCCCUUACUUAAUUUUUGUCCAUUUUGUCCAUUGCAUACCUGACCAUACCUGAGUCAGUAAUGACAUAUUUGGUUAAACCCUAUGGUCUCUGAUGUCCUUGAUAAUAUAUCAGAAAUGAAUUAAAAUUAGGUUAGGAAAUUAUCUAGGGUUGGGGUUUAGGUGCGAAAAGCAACAGCUAGCAUUUCAGUUUGUGUGAUUUCUAUCCUCCUUCUUUUUCCUGCCUUUAUGCAUCAUGUGUUUCCACAGGUCAAUGGAAGUACCUCAGGUGUGUGUUGAUGUUCUACCUUCCUGCGUGUUAUGUACUACCAGCAUGAUGCGGGAGGAUAUUUUGGAUAUUCACUGUAUGUCAGCAUGCUAGGAGGACACAUCUGGCUCAGGUUACUUACUUGCCUGUCAGUAGUUUUUUUCCCCUUUCUUUUCCUUUUUUCCAUGAAGGGCAGCUCUUCUGAGAAGAAUGUAAUUCCAUUAAAGAUCAUGCCACCUGAUUUACAACAGCUCCCUCUGGUGUGUUUAGUACAGAGCUUUCCUUAGGGCAGAUCUGGAGUAAAUGUCUUCUGCUUCCUCAGAAAUUGCUUAUUUGUCUCUGUUGGGAAGUUUGAGUCCUUUGGCUCUUUGGGCAACUUCAAAGUGCAAAUUUAAAUGAUUUUCAAUUCAUUAGCUAGUCAGUGUUUAGUGGUACUUUAUACAGCUAAUGCUUCAGCAACUGUAGUGCAAGUAUAAUCUCUUUCUGUGGUGUUUGCUGCCACCAUGUGGAUAACCAAAGGCUCUGCUUCUGGACUGCAGGAAUCUGUUCCACCACAAGGUGUUGCUGUUUUACGAAUUUUCAUCACUUUUCCUUCUUUUACUCUUGAUGAAUUGCGGCAGCAGGAACAGAGUGAUAGUGUGUUAGAUAAAUAAGACAUUCACAUUACAGGCUUAGAAUAAUAUUUAAUUCAGUUAUUCACAAAACACUGAUGAUCUGAAAUUGGGAUAAACGAUGACCCAUAUUACCUGAUAUCUUAUAGUCCUUGAAUCCCCUGACAUACAUAUAUAUAUUCAUAAUUCGUAUAAAGGUUUUAUUGUAAUUCCAGGCAGAAACCACAUGUUUACAAAUGACCUGCUGACUGAAAAUGCUAAAUAAACACAAACAUUCAGCUUUCUUAUGGAUUACCACAGGGAGAAUGUGGCAGAAGCUUUGAUUAUUUUUCACUACACAGCUGUUUCCUGGUUGAUCGAAUGCAUUUUUGCUUGAUUUCAUAGAGCAGUUGUAGAGAGAAUUACAUAGAAUUUAUUUUCCGGGCUGUAUGUUGUAUAGAACAUGUCCAAACACAGACAGUUUCUCUCAAUUAAUUAUUUUUUCUUAACCCAGUUUUAUUAAUUAUUGCUUAUUUAGAUGUCAUCGUUUCUUUUUUUUUUUUCGUCCAGACACUAAGAAUUGUAUGCUUUGUAUGUAAGAGUUCCUGUCAGUUAAUUAUAAAUUAUUAUUUUUUUGUCCUGGGUUUAUUAUUAAGGUGUUAAUCAUUAUUUCCUUCUUUAAAUUUAAACCCAUGACCCAUUUUCUAGCUCUUUCCUAUAACAUAACAGCUGCCACUCAGCUUCCUCAGAGACAUAUGAAGCCAUCCACUGCAUCUUUUUGAACUGCUGCUGCUAUGUCCCAGCUGGACACGCUUGGAGGAAAACUGCCCUCUUCCGCAUACAUGAGCUCACUAAUGCCCACAACUGGCUACAUGUAGAGUUGAUUUAUUAAUCGCUUCCAGUUAUGCUCUCCCAAUUGCCCUCGCUUGGAUUCCUGGCCCUAAACCAGCUGUUGUGGCAUCAUCAGGAUGCAGACCCGCAAACUCGUGAUAGGGUGAAGGCUUUUCCGCUGAGCUAUUCAUUAUUUCUUGAUCAGGUUGUUUUACGCAGUGGCUUGUAUGAAAACAUGUUUGCAGACGUUUAGUACUUUAGAGUUAGACAAGGUUCUAAAAGAUGAUGAUCUGAACAUUAUUAUUAUUAUUUUUUUUUCAUUAUUAUUCUGUUUCUGAUGUCUUCUGACUCGUAUAACAUAACAAACGCCACCACUACCAUAAAAGCAGACAAUAGAUACUACAAAUCUACCUUAUCCAUACUGUACAUAAGACUUACAUACCCUUCUUUGUCCAUCUUUUUCCUCUCUUUGGAUUAGCUAUGCUACAUUGCACCUAGCUAUGGAUAUGUAUGUUGUUCUAAUUUAUUCAGUAGUCUAAUUGAAAACUAAACUAAUUCUAAAUUUGAGUAUAUAAUAUUAACCACUUAGACUACCAAAUUAUUAUUUAAUUUAUCUUAAGGCAUGUUCCUAUUAUAGUAUAAAAUCUUGUGGGUAGAAUAUAUGGUCCUGAGAGUGAGGAAUGUGAAUCUGGACACGUCAGUGGUUCCUGUAUGUUUAAGGGGGCUAAAAGCUGUUGUUUAGCCAUUAUGCUACAAGUUCCAUUCUUAUGUAGUGGAGAAGCAAAAGCACUGAUGGUUUACUCACAUAGAGGUUGUGGUAAGAACAUCAGAAGUGAGGUUUCGGUCACAAAUCUUUGCAGGUGGCUUGUUUUUGUUUAUGUGUCAAUCAUCAUUUGAUCAUUAGACUCUAAUUCACAUCUCAUGUGUAGGAAACAGCAGCUUGGAACUGUUUGUUUUAUCCAUGUGUUUUGUUUUUAUCCAACGCUUCUGGAACGUGAUAGCUGACACUGUCUUCCUAAGCUUAGCUUGGGAAGCUAAUAUACUUUGCCACCAGCAGAUGGUGGUGUUCUCCUCCUUAUCAGAGCUGUGCAACCAGGCUUCUUCUCCCUUGCUGUAGAAACCUGUUGAAACACAGCAAAAAGCAUUGGGUGUGUGAGCUGCUCAUCAUGUAGAUUGGACUUUAAGAUAAAGUAAGUGUCCAUAAUGCUUUUACUUGUUAGAAUGCCUUUCAAGUUUCAAGUUUAUUUGUCAUAUAUACAAGUGUCAGUGACAAUGUGCAUUGAAAUGCUUUUUGUGAGCCUUAGGCAGUCUACAGCAGUACAAUAAUAACAACAGAAAUAAAUAAUAAAGGGGCAAGCAAGACAGAAAUUUAAGAGACAAAAAUGUAGAAUAAUGAUUACAACAGAUACACAAUACAAUACAAUAACAAUAAAAAGAAAAAAAAAAAAAAAAAAGAGAAAAAAAGUAGAGGUAGUCUACUUGUUAAUGUUAAUGGAAUUGUUACUUGAUAUGUUAAUGGAAAUCAAGAAUGUGAAUGCCUUAAUGUAGAGGUUCCUGACCCCCCUGCUCCUGGAGUACCCCAUGUCCUGCACAUUUUAGUGUUUUCCCUGCUUCAGAUAAUUAACAGCCCUUCCUGAGGUGCUCCAGGAACAGGAUUGGGAACCUGUGCCUUAAUGUAGUGGCCUCACAGUCAGCAGGUGGCACUGUGGCUUCACGUAAGUGCACUAUGUAUGCAAAGGUUCAAGGGGCUUGAAAGCAGAGUCCCCGCUCUCGCUCUAUAGAGUAAUAGUUGUAGAUUGGUGGUAUUAUCUCCAUAUUGCCAACUCAUCUGCCUUUGAAGAUCAAAGAGGCAUGCCCGGCUCUUUAGAGUACCGCCACAGAUAACCUUAAUUUGAACUUCAAUAAAGUCAACCAUGUGCGUCGUGCAUCUGCUGGCCUCAGCCCACCAUCAACGACCGACAUCAUCUGCCAUUAUACAACCUUUAUGUAUGCAGCUUCAUUGAAACUCUUUCAUAUCUGAGCUGUGUGCCGUUUUUGACUUGGUGAAACUUUUGUAAUGCAACCUUGUAUUUGAGAAAGGUGCUAAAUAAAUUAAAUAUUACAAAGCCUAAAUUUGAGAUAUUGAAGAAGACUUUGUAAACAGCCAAAAUUGACACUUGGGGUCGAUGUUUUCUGGUCUCAAAAAGCCUAGGUAAUGACUGGUAAGGUUUUGUUCAUUCCACGAUUGAAAGCAAAGACAUGCAGAAACUUGGCUAAUGGCGGGCUCUCAGUUGGAACGCUGCCAUUUCUUGCGUUGAAUUCUUGGGAGGGGCAGAUUGAGAUUGGGUGACAAUAAUAACCUGGGCCUAAAAAAAAAAUGCUUGCUGCUGUUGCAGGUGUGGUACUGGACUUUGGUGUGAAAGUGUGUGUGUGAGAGUGAUUGAGAACAUGGGUAUGAGUGAUCGCAUAAAUACCAACAUAAUGCGCUUAUAACACCAAUGCAAAUGGCAUUAAGUUUGACACCAGUAGGUUUGAACGUAUAACUGUGGUCAUUUGAAAAACUACUAAACCGAUAAGAUGUUUUUCCUUGACAUUAAUGUUUAACUCUGCUGCACUUUCCCCCCCAGUGUGCCUGCUUCUUCACCAUCUUUGCCUCUUGUCUUUGAAUCUCUUUUCAACUGAAACUCAAACUCUGGCGAUCAUAUGAAUCUCUUGGGACAGAAGCAUAAUGGAGAGGAACUCAUUUUCAUUUCAGGAGGCCACUCUGUGGAAGUGGAUUCCAGGAAAGCAGACACCCUUCACUUGCUUCAUGUGGAUUCUUGCGGUGAGGAGGAUGUAUGUCUUCUUGUGAUCAUGGAUGGAUUAUACAUGCAGGAGGGAGAGAAGUGCUCACGAAUGAGCUGUGAGGAAAAUCGGACAGGUACACUGUUGAACGUACAUGAAGUCACAUCACAGGGAAUCACGUGCUUCAUCUUGUUUUACUUUUUCACCACCUGCUCAGGAUCUGUUUAAGCGAGACAGACAGCAUCUGACCGGAUUACCAAAAAUUUCCUUGUUUUUUUUUGUUUUUUUUUCUUUUUCUCCAUGACAUCAUGGAGGUUUUUUUUUUCCUUUUUUUGCCCUUCUGAGAAGCUGGACUGUGAUCCAAUGAAGUUGAAGCACACUUUGUUCUUCAGUAAAUGUGAAUACUUUUUGAAUUUCAGUAAAUCAGCAUGGGCUUGAAAAAAGGACAUGUGCUGAAACAUCUGCUAGUCCACUUGCUAUUUGCUUCGAUUGUUUGACUCACCUCGUUCUCACUUUCUCACCAUUUUUACUGAAUACUGAUGUUCCCAUUUGCCUGUUUUUAUUCAAAAGCAUGAAUGUACAAAAUAAAAUCACUGCAAUACUUGCCAAGACA